UGAGGCAGCAGCAACAGGCUACUGAUGGCCAAUUGCAAGCCAUGGUACAGCGACUUCAAGGGAUGGAGCAGCGGCAGCAACAAAUGAUGUCUUUCCUGUCAAAGGCUAUGCAAAGCCCUGGCUUCUUGGCUCAGUUUGUACAGCAGCAAAAUGAAAGCAAUAGACGCAUAACAGAAGCUAACAAAAAACGAAGGCUCAAACAAGAUGGUAUUUCUGAGAAUGAGAAUUCUAGUGCUCCUGAUGGCCAAAUUGUGAAGUACAAGCCUCUGAUAAAUGAGGCAGCAAAAGCCAUGCUGAGGCAAAUCAUGAAAAUGGAUGCUUGUUCCGGGAUUGAAUCUUAUAACAAUGGUCUUGAAGUUUUCCUAAUUGGCAGUGGCUCACCAUCAUCCAGCGGAAUGGAGAGUGGGAGGUCUUCAAGCCAUAUAUCAGAGGUGACUCUUCAAGAGGUCACACCAACUACAGGUGAUUCAACCUAUGUACCAGCAGCUUCAGGGCAUGACCCUGCAGCUUCCAUUUCAGAAAUAAAAUGCACUCCAUGCAUUCCCAGUUCUGAAAAGAUAACAGCUUCUCAGCUUCCUGAUAUGAGUGCACUGGUUGGAUCACAAGAGGCACCCUCCAUUUCUGUUCCUCAGUCAGAUGUAGUCAUGCCAACGCUUUCCCAAAUACCAGAAAUGGUGCCUGAAAGUAUUGUUGAUAUUCCUGGCGAAGGUUAUGAGGAGCCUGAGACUGGCAAUGAUGGAUUUAUGGAUCUGACUUUAGUAGGAAUUGAAAAUGUUCCCUCAGAUCCUGAUAUUGAUAUGUUGCUUGAAAAUUCUAGCUUCUGGGAUGAACUCGUGCAAAGCCCAGUACUUGAGGAUAUUGAAUCAAGCUCUGUGGAUGGUGAAGCAAAGGGAAACGAUGUGCAGCCAAUGGACAGUGGUUGGGACAAAACUCAGCACAUGGAUCAGCUUGCAGAGCAGAUGGGACUUCUCACAUCAGAUGCUAAAAAGCUUUGAUCUGAUUUACAGAAUGUACAUCCUGCACUCUGCCCUAGGUAAACACCUUGUUAAACUUUUGACCUUUAAAAUCAUAUGUUCCUCUUUCUUUGGCCAUUGAAAAAAUAGUCGAUACCUUUUGUACUUGUUUGCCUGUGGUUUUUUCUUUACAUAUAUCGAGACAUAAAUUAGCUCUCUUCAAAAGUUUUAAUCUGAAAUUUUAGUGAUCUUCUCUGUUCAUCUUUCGGGAAAUUCAAGAUCUCAAGAAACAUAAGAUGUUUUGCAUCCAUGUCU
rnacentral:misc_RNA from 1 species